GAUGAAGAACGUAGCGAAAUGCGAUAAGUAAUGUGAAUUGCAGAAUUCAGUGAAUCAUCGAAUCUUUGAACGCACAUUGCGCCCGCCAGUAUUCUGGCGGGCAUGCCUGUUCGAGCGUCAUUUCAACCAUCAAGCCCCCGGGCCUGGCGUUGGGGAUCGGCGGAGCCCCCCGUGGGCACACGCCGUCCCCCAAAUACAGUGGCGGUCCCGCCGCAGCUUCCAUCGCGUAGUAGCUAACACCUCGCGACUGGAGAGCGGCGCGGCCACGCCGUAAAACACCCAACUCUUCUGAAGUUGACCUCGAAUCAGGUAGGAAUACCCGCUGAACUUAAGCAUAUCAAUAAGCGGAGGA
rnacentral:misc_RNA from 1 species